rnacentral:rRNA from 2 species
UACGGGAGGCAGCAGUGAGGAAUAUUGGGCAAUGGAGGCAACUCUGACCCAGCCAUGUCGCGUGCAGGAAGACGGUCCUAUGGAUUGUAAACUGCUUUUGUACGGGAAGAAACAUCUCUUCGAGAAGAGACUUGACGGUACCGUAAGAAUAAGGAUCGGCUAACUCCGUGCCAGCAGCCGCGGUAAUACGGAGGAUCCAAGCGUUAUC